GAAUUGACUAUUACAACAAGAUCAUUGAUGAUUUGUUAACAAAUGGGGUUACACCAAUAGUGACACUCUACCACUUUGAUUUGCCUCAGGCUUUAGAAGACCAAGGAGGUUGGUUGUCAGAGGCAAUCAUUGAACGCUUUGACAAAUAUGCUCAGUUUUGCUUCAGUACCUUCGGGGAUCGAGUCAAGCAGUGGAUCACCAUAAAUGAGCCUAAUAUUUUUGCCCUGAUGGCAUAUGACCUAGGUAUAUUUCCUCCUGGUGUACCUCACAUUGGGAUUGGAGGUUAUCAGGCAGCUCAUAAUAUGAUUAAGGCUCAUGCCAGAUCCUGGCACAGUUAUGAUUCUUUAUUCCGAAAAGAGCAGAAGGGUAUGGUGACCCUAUCAAUUUUUGUUAACUGGUUGGAACCAGCAGAUCCCAACUCAGUGUCUGACCAGGAAGCUGCUAAAAGAGCCAUGGCUUUCCAGUUGGAUUUCUUUGCUAAACCCAUAUUUAUUGAUGGUGAUUAUCCGGAAGUUGUCAAGUCUCAGAUUGCCUCCAUGAGUAAAAAGCAAGGCUAUCCAUCAUCAAGGCUUCCAGAAUUUACAGAAGAAGAGAAGAAAAUGAUCAAAGGCACUGCUGAUUUCUUUGCUGUGCAAUAUUACACUUCUCGCUUAGUCAAGCACCAGGAGAACAAGAAAGGAGAACUGGGUUUUCUCCAGGAUGUGGAGAUCGAAUUUUUUCCAGAUCCGUCUUGGGAAAAUGUAGAUUGGAUCUAUGUGGUGCCAUGGGGAAUACGUAAAUUACUGAAAUAUAUUAAGGUAAAUGCAGGAUUUGUCUGUGUUCAUGUACAACAAAUACAUGAAGGUGGCAAGGCAGGCAUAU